rnacentral:rRNA from 1 species
GUAGGUGGCAAGCGUUGUCCGGAAUUAGUUGGGCGUAAAGCGCGCGCAGGGGUGGUUCUUUAAGUCUGAUGUGAAAGCCCCCGGGCUCAACCGGGGAGGGUCAUUGGAAACUGGGGAACUUGAGUGCAGGAGAGGAAAGUGGAAUUCCACGUGUAGCGGUGAAAUGCGUAGAUAUGUGGAGGAACACCAGUGGCGAAGGCGACUUUCUGGCCUGUAACUGACACUGAGGCGCGAAAGCGUGGGGAGCAAACAGGAUUAGAUACCCUGGUAGUCCACGCCGUAAACGAUGAGUGCUAAGUGUUGGGGGGUUUCCGCCCCUCAGUGCUGCAGCUAACGCAUUAAGCACUCCGCCUGGGGAGUACGGUCGCAAGACUG